GAGAGGUGUCCAGUGGCAGCUCCUCCUCUCAAAGACGAGAUAUGAUUUUGUUGCAAAGCCCCACAGAAACUCUUUACAUUUAAAGAAGCAAUAGAUGUAGGAUGACGAGAAUAGCAAGUAAGGUAAGGGUUGUGUGUUGCCUUGCAAAGCCCAGGUUUAAAACCCAUGCUCCCAGAGGUCAGCAACAUGUCCGGUGCACCUCGACGGCG
rnacentral:misc_RNA from 1 species